AGUCAAGGGGCCUUUGUCAGGGGAGGCAGAUUUGAGAUUGCGGGGUCUUAGCCCACGAGAUUAUUCACUCCAUGAAGAAUGCCGGAAAAUCGCGAGUUAGAGUUUGAAACUCGACAUGGCUAGGCAUAUGAUUGGUUGGACAGGGGUUUCUUGAGGCAGGUGCUUCAAAUUUGGCUUUGGGCAGUGGUGGUGCCUUCUCGUGGAGCAGUGCAUUUCAACUCCUAAGUUCUCGGUGAUGAUCAACG
rnacentral:lncRNA from 1 species